GACGAACGCUGGCGGCGUGCUUAACACAUGCAAGUCGAACGAAGUGGCGAACGGGUGAGUAACGCGUAAUCAACCUGCCCUUCAGAGGGGGACAACAGUUGGAAAAGACUGCUAAUACCGCAAACUGAAGGAGGGGAUUGCGUCUGAUUCGCUAGUUGGAGAGGUAACGGCCCACCAAGGCGAUGAUCAGUAGCCGGUGUGAGAGGAUGAACGUGCACAUGGAGCCGUAGACACGGCCCAGACACCUACGGGAGGCAGCAGUGGGGAAUCUUCCUCAAUGGACGAAAGUCUGGCGGAGCAACGCCGCGUGAGUGAUGACGGCCUUCGGGUUGUAAAGCUCUGUUAAUCGGGACGCGGUACCGGAAUAGAAAGCCACGGCUAACUACGUGCCAGCAGCCGCGGUAAUUC
rnacentral:rRNA from 1 species